CAACUCGGCUGCAUGAAGCCGGAAUCGCUAGUAACCGCGGAUCAGAAUGCCGCGGUGAAUACGUUCCCGGGUCUUGUACACACCGCCCGUCACACCAUGGGAGUCGGGAAUGCCCGAAGCCGGUGGCCCAACCUUAGGGAGGGAGCCGUCGAAGGCAGGCCCGGUGACUGGGGUGAAGUCGUAACAAGGUAGC
rnacentral:rRNA from 1 species